CAAAAAAGCCCCUCUAUUUUCAAGAAUUCAACCCGCAGUCCCUGUUUAAGUGGAUCGGGGAAAACGAUUCGUUUUUGCACAAAACACCCUGUCGUUUGGAUUAUUCAACCCGCGGUCCGAGCAAAUUUGGGUAAAGAAAAAAACACGACCAAAGGAGGAGAACGGGCUCGCCUCCUCUCCCUCUCGCUCAAGUCCUCGCCGCCGCCGCCACCACCCACGCCGGCAGCUUCCGGCGAGCUCCGACGCCGCGCAGCACGCCCCCCAACUCCCCACAGUCCGCUCCUCCCUACCCUCCGUCCAGAUUCUCUGCUCCCGGCCUCUACCGCCCGCUCGAAACGCCACCCCCAUGGCUAGGGUUUCGGGCAGGGCUUCGCCGGCGCGUCUCCGGCGGCCCAGAUGCAGAUGGAGCACGCCAUGGGAAUUCCCCAUCCACCAUGGUCGCCGCCAUCAAGGGCUUCUUCACGGAGAUGUGGAGGACGCCAUGGACCUGCAGCUCCAAGGUCAACAGGGAGGAACCCUAGCCAUAAGCACCUCCUCGGAUGACGCCUCUGCUACACCAAGAUAGAGAUAUAUAUGAUAUCUACAUGGCUGCUAUGCUACUUUUUUUGUGUGAUGAAUCAUUGUGAGUUUCGAAGAAACUUCCAAUGUUACCUCCGCCAAGUUUGCCGGCAGAAGAAGCACAUCCAUUGAGCCGUUCAAUGUCGCCUGCGGUGGCUACACCAGAGGGUAACCAUGGCAUCUUGAGCCCAAGAACAGUGUUACUGCCAUUUAACGCCGCGAUGUUUUAGCUCCAGGAAUUUGGACCCUCCUGCGAUAAGAAUCAGUUGAAAAGGAAAAUUCGUGCAACAGGGAUUUGACCCUAAACUCUUUUGAUUAUACAAACUACAAAGUGAUCUAAUUUCCAUUUUCUCCCUAUGCAGUCAAUCAAAAGUCUUAUUGGCACUUCUUGCUGCUACUACAUUCAUGAUGACCACUGUGUCAAGCCUUCCAAGUAUCUGCUCUCCUGAUGUUUACACAAGGGAGACGCUACUAAGGAAGCAGAACAUGGAGAAGUUUUCUUGAUGUUUACACAAGGGAGAUGAUACUAAAGAAGCAGAUCGCGAAGAAGUUUCAAUGAAUUAGAGAGUUAUAGAUGCCAGCUGGUCCUCUACAUAUCUGUUACCUGAUAAAAAUAAGAAAAAUGCAUGUGCUGCAUUCAUUAAGGCUAAUAGCUCUCAAUUUUGCCAAUGGUAAUGGGCUGUUGGGUAUCAACCGAAUGACAAUAGUGGCCUGAGGGGUGGUAACAUGGUUGCCUCUUGCGGAAUAGCCAUUUAGAUAUUAUUUUGUUGUGUAAUCUUAAUCUCCAUCCAAAUCAUAUUUAAUUUGUAUGUUAAUCUUCUCCUGGUGGAACGCA